UUGACGGCUUCUUUAGAAGCCAUAAAAAAAGAAAAAAAUAAUAAU
rfam:Glossina fuscipes fuscipes unplaced genomic scaffold Scaffold318, whole genome shotgun sequence.